ACUUUUGAUCCGAGUAUUUAUGGCAGGAAUAAUCUUUGAUCAUAAAUGACAAUUAAGCUCAAGCUUAAUUGAAAUAUUGUCAAACUGAGCUUGAGCCGAGUUUGAUUGAACUAUUAAUUGAACUCAAGCAUGGCUUGGUGCCAGUCCUACUCUAUAUAUAAAGUAUUUGCCUGAGGCAUUGUGAUAUUAAGGGGAAAUAGUUCUCUCCGCAUUUGGUCAUUAAUGCAUUUUCCUCGCAUUACCUUAAUCAUAAUAUUAAUUGUUCUUCCAGAGUAUCGGGAGCCUGUGAAAAUAUAAAUAUUUUUUGUAGCUGUGGUGAUUCAGAGUCUCAGUCAUGCCUAUACGAGGAAUCUCUUCCUGGCUUGAAAAGUGUCCCUGGUUUGAAAAGAAAGCUGCCAGCUCUUGAAGAUGAUGAGAUGGAGUUUUCUGAAACCAUUAAUUCCCCACUGAAUUCAAAAAGAAGUAGGGUGCUUAUUCACAAAGCAGGUAACUGCGGAGAGAAUCCACCUGAUAACCUUGCUGAAGAUUGCAUGGAAAUCGUUAAGAAUGGUAGUCCCUUGUGCUCUUCCAAAUCCCCAUGUGCAGUUGAAGGCUGUCUGUCCAAGGGCUUUGCUGGAUUAUUCUUUACCCGCUCCUAUUUGCAAUUUGGCUGAGAAAGAAGAGUUCCUUGUACCUAAAGCUCCCACCGGAGUUGCAAAUAUAGAAA